rnacentral:rRNA from 1 species
UUAUGGCUCAGGAUGAACGCUGGCGGCGUGCUUAACACAUGCAAGUCGAACGGGCUUAGAUCGGAAGCUUGCUUUGAUUAAGUAGUGGCGGACGGGUGAGUAACGCGUGGGUAACCUACCCUGUGCAGGGGGAUAGCAGCUGGAAACGGCUGAUAAAACCGCAUAACACGGCGAUGCCGCAUGGCAAUGCCGUCAAAUAUUUAUAGGCACAGGGAUGGGCCCGCGUCUGAUUAGCUAGUUGGCGGGGCAACGGCCCACCAAGGCGACGAUCAGUAGCCGGCCUGAGAGGGUGAACGGCCACAUUGGGACUGAGACACGGCCCAAACUCCUACGGGAGGCAGCAGUGGGGAAUAUUGGACAAUGGGGGAAACCCUGAUCCAGCGACGCCCGCGUGAGUGAGAAGUAUUUCGGUAUGUAAAGCUCUAUCAGCAGGGAAGAUGAUGACGGUACCUGACUAAGAAGCACCGGCUAAAUACGUGCCAGCAGCGGC